rnacentral:rRNA from 1 species
GUGAAAUUGUUGAAAGGGAAGCGCUUACAACCAGACUUGCGCGCGGCGGUUCCCCCUUCCUUUUGGUUGGGCUACUCCGUCGUGUCCAGGCCAACAUCGGUUCUGGGGGUCGGUUAAAGACCCUGGGAAUGUAUCUACCCUUCGGGCGUAGACUUAUAGCCCAGGGUGUCAUGCGGCCUCCCGGGACCGAGGAACGCGCUUCGGCUCGGAUGUUGGCGUAAUGGUUGUCAGCGACCCGUCUUGAAACACGG